rnacentral:rRNA from 1 species
CCUACGGGAGGCAGCAGUGAGGAAUAUUGGUCAAUGGGCGUAAGCCUGAACCAGCCAAGUCGCGUGAGGGAUGAAGGUUCUAUGGAUCGUAAACCUCUUUUAUAAGGGAAUAAAGUGUGGGAUGUGUACUAUUUUGUAUGUACCUUAUGAAUAAGGAUCGGCUAACUCCGUGCCAGCAGCCGCGGUAAUACGGAGGAUGCGAGCGUUAUCCGGUUUUAUUGGGUUUAAAGGGGGCGUAGGCGGGUCGUUAAGUCAGUGGUGAAAUUGUGGGGCUCAACCCCGACCCGCCAUUGAAACUGGCGCUCUUGAGUGGAAGAGAAGUAGGCGGAAUGCGUGGUGUAGCGGUGAAAUGCAUAGAUAUCACGCAGAACCCCGAUUGCGAAGGCAGCAUGCCGGCUUCCUACUGACGCUGAAGCACGAAAGCGUGGGGAUCGAACAGGAUUAGAUACCCUUGUAGUC